GAAGAAGACGGAGGCGGACGAGGGAAAACAAAGACGAGCACAGCGACUGCAGAAGUUGAACAGAAGUGUAACUACUGUGAGUGUUUUAUCAUCUGAAUGGCUGCUGUUGAGUUUCUGAGAGGUUUUAUCAGCGAGCGGCUAACUGCUGCUGCUGCUGAAAUAUUGGGAGUGUUUGAACAAACUAUCGUCCAGUACGAGGAAGAGCUGGACCGUCAGCGCAAACUGCUGGAUAUCAUCCUGAAGCCUGAGAUAAAGCUACACAGAAUAGCUCUCACGCAACAACACAAUUGUAAGGAGGAAGAGCUGAUUCUAGCUGAUCAGCAGCUCUGUAAUCAGGAGAGGAACUGCAACUGCAGCCUGGACUGGGAGGAACCAGAACCCCCACAGGUUAAAGAGGAACGGCAAGUUCUGUACAGCAGUGAUGAGGGAGAUCAGCAAGGACUGAAUGAGGAGACUGAGCCCUCUAUAGUAACUGCUGCUUAUGAAAGUGACAAUAUUGAAGCAGAACUAAGCUGUGGUGUGGUUCUCUCUCACAACUCUCCUCCAGCAAAAGAAUCUCUAAAAUGUAAACCUUGUGGAAAAUCCUUUUCAUGUCAGUGGAAGCUUAAGAGACAUAAAAGAAUUCACACAGGUAUCCCUGUUUGGAAUUACCAGUUUGGAAAGAUGGGUAAGAGAAUAUGCGGAUUGUGUUUUCGGAGAUACACCAACUUAAGUCAACACCUUAAAGUGUCCCACACUGUGCCUAAUCAAGAUGAGUUCAGACUUCUCUUGCAAUAUGGGAGUGCUCGAACCCCCGAGAAACUGGACUGCCAAAUAUGUGGCAAGAACAAGCUUACCCGCCUCGAUAAGCACUUACAGGAGUCACAUAAACUAUCAGCAGAUGUAAGUAUAUUAAGUUAGUUUUGAUUUAUCAAAAACAUGUGUAAGAUCUGUAGUAAAUCCAGUGUUUGUACAUUUGACUUGUGUGAUAUAAGGAUAUUUAAUGGUGACAGGAACGAGAAACAAUCAUGAGGCAGGCCAAGAGAGCAGUCGUAGUCAAAAAGUUGGCGGCACUGCGGGAGUCACACCCUGAAAUGCCAGUGGUAUCAAUGUUGGACCUCCUAGCUGGUGAUGAAGGUACAUGAUACAAUAUGGUACAGACACAGAUGCCAUAGUACAAGGGCCCAUUCAGUGCUUGCAGCUAAUUUUUUUUAUGGCUUUCAUGUAGCAUAAGUUAUAUACAGAAAUUUGGAACCGUGGGUUAUACGUUCCAGUUUUAUAUCUAUUUUAUCACAUUGCAGAUGAUGACUGUCGUCUUCUUGAUGAGGAAUUUCCCAUGGACUGUAAUAAUGAGGAAAAUGGUAAGGUUCAAGAGGGAUCAAGAUUUAAAGAGGUUGAAAAGGUUGCGACGAACCAUGGCUUAAUCCCCAGUGAUCUUCAGUCCAGUGGAAUCAAUCCCAACAACAAAUGUUCCACCCCGCCGCCUGGUCAAAAAAGUGUAAGAAGUAAUGAAGAUGCAUUCUCCUCUAGGGAACCCCCUGAACGAAUGCCAGAAGUCUUCCACAGCAUCACUCAUAUGAAGGUUCCAGGUGAUGGUGAGGAACCGGUCUCUGGACAUGACCUUCUUGAGGAUUAGCCAGGUGAAAGAUGUUGUUGGCACACCAGAAUGCCCAUGAACAGUGAGAUGCCAACAGUGAUAACAUUCAGCCUGUUAGCUCAGUCCACUUCCCAGCAGCAAUAUUUUUUGCUGCAUUUCUGUUUGAAUUGGCACAUAUUUUUUUGACAGCAGCUCAGCCAAAGUACAUACCAAACAGCUGUGUUCACAUACUGUGUUAGAGGUGGCUGCACACCUAGUCUGGUUCAGUUUUCCAGCCACCUAAAUCACCAGGGAGUACCUCUGACCUUUCAGUUGAAUAUGUUC
ensembl:lncRNA zinc finger protein 780A-like